GGCGAUAUAGUUCAGCCGGUAGAACACUCGACCGAUAAUCGAGCGAUCCUGGUUCGAGACCGGGUAUCGCCACCA
rnacentral:tRNA from 1 species